rnacentral:rRNA from 1 species
GACGAACGCUGGCGGCGUGCUUAACACAUGCAAGUCGAACGGAAAGGCCCUGCUUUUGUGGGGUGCUCGAGUGGCGAACGGGUGAGUAACACGUGAGUAACCUGCCCUUGACUUUGGGAUAACUUCAGGAAACUGGGGCUAAUACCGGAUAGGAGCUCCUGCUGCAUGGUGGGGGUUGGAAAGUUUCGGCGGUUGGGGAUGGACUCGCGGCUUAUCAGCUUGUUGGUGGGGUAGUGGCUUACCAUGGCUUUGACGGGUAGCCGGCCUGAGAGGGUGACCGGCCACAUUGGGAAUGAGAUACGGCCCAGACUCCUACGGGAGGCAGCAGUGGGGAAUAUUGCACAAUGGGCGGAAGCCUGAUGCAGCAACGCCGCGUGCGGGAUGACGGCCUUCGGGUUGUAAACCGCUUUCGCCUGUGACGAAGCGUGAGUGACGGUAAUGGGGAAAGAAGCACCGGCUAACUACGU